UGGGGAAUAUUGCACAAUGGGGGAAACCCUGAUGCAGCGACGCCGCGUGAACGAAGAAGGUAUUCGUAUCGUAAAGUUCUGUCCUAUGGGAAGAUAAUGACAGUACCAUAGAAGAAAGCUCCGGCUAAAUACGUGCCAGCAGCCGCGGUAAUACGUAUGGAGCGAGCGUUGUCCGGAAUUAUUGGGCGUAAAGGGUACGCAGGCGGUUUAAUAAGUCGAAUGUUAAAGAUCGGGGCUCAACCCCGUAAAGCAUUGGAAACUGAUAAACUUGAGGAGUGGAGAGGAAAGUGGAAUUUCUAGUGUAGUGGUGAAAUACGUAGAUAUUAGGAGGAAUACUAGUAGCGAAGGCGACUUUCUGGACAAAAACUGACGCUGAGGUACGAAAGCGUGGGGAGCAAACAGG
rnacentral:rRNA from 1 species